CUUAAAUAUGUUAUUGUAGAGGCACUACCACCGUCACUGAUGGGGUUGGCCUUGGCCGGCAGUGGGUCUGACUUGGAGCCAGGGAAGCUUCUAGCGGCUUCUUACAGGAGCCACCUCUGUAGCCCCCUACCCCACUACCAAAACCCCACCACACAAACCCCAUACAGUAGGCUAAAACUUAAUAUGGGUAUCUUAAUCCCUUCACACAUGAGGAUUUUAAAAUUUAUUUUAAUCAUGCCUCAGAGUCUCACCUUUGCUGUAGACAUAUCACCAAAAUAACAAACUCGUGUUAAAGUAACAAAAGUUCUUAAAAGCACAUUGGUAACAUUUUUAGAAGCCAUCAGUCAGUCACUGCCUCAGCCUAAGCCAAAAGCUUAUUGCACAGUCCAGAUCACAUGUUUGCAACAAAUAAUGAACACUACAAUGCAGAAGUAGAGGAUAUAGACCAGUGCUGGACUUGAUGACCUUCAGAAAAGAAUUAAGGGGGUUAGUUUUACAGUUACCUCCAGCUACCGUUUAGCUGGAUACUGAAAAUACUACAGAAGAGAUAACAUAAAAUAGUCUCACUGCAUUUUCCAACCAUCUAAUAAUUCUCCAGACGUUAAUUCUCCUAAACAAGGCUAAACUUAAUAUUAAACUUAAAAUGGUUGAUACAUAAAAUCAAAUAUAUCUUUCAUUCCCAAGUAUUGAAAAGGAUUUGCUAACCAACUCAAAAAAACCUUGACCUAUAUAGACAUGCUACUUAACCUAUCUUUAGGCUAAGACAGACAGACAUCUAUUCCUCUUCAGAGUAGUAAGAAGAAAUCUAACAACUUCAGUUACAAGAAGAAUUUCAGUGCAUUCCUGCUUGCUUAACAAAGACACACAACAACGAAAGUCCAAACAAUAUCCAUUUCCCAAUGC